AUAGUGGCGCACGGGUGCGUAACGCGUAACCAACCUACCCAGUUCUGGGGGAUAGCCCGCCGAAAGGCGGAUUAAUACCGCAUAAGACCAUAGACUGGCAUCAGUUAGUGGUUAAAGAUUUAUUGGAAUUGGAUGGGGUUGCGUGCCAUUAGCUAGUUGGGGGGGUAACGGCCCACCAAGGCGACGAUGGCUAGGGGAGCUGAGAGGCUGGUCCCCCACACGGGCACUGAGAUACGGGCCCG
rnacentral:rRNA from 1 species